GACGGUGGGGGAGGAACGGGGCCGGGGGCCUGGCCGUGGAGAUGGCAGAGCCGGGAGGAGCCCAGAAAUGCUUCCCUCAGCUCCCUUGGGGGAGGGAGGGGGCUUCUGUCUGAGGAAGCUGGACUGGGACUGGGGACUCCAAGCCAGCCCUGGGCCCCAGGGGCCAGACAGGCCCUUCCGGCUGCAGGGCCUUUGCACUUGCUGCCCCUUCUGCCUGAGGCGCCCCUCCCGCAGAUGGCUCCCCUCUGAGCCCCUUUGGACCCUCCCCGACACUGGACCUCUGUGACACCACCCCGCCCAAAGACUCAGGAUUCCAUUCGGGGCCGCGGGGAGCUGGCUUCUGAUGGAGGUGGUCCAGGCAGGACCUCUGCUGUCCCUUUUGGGGCCCUUCCUCUGGCCCCGGGGGGCAGUUUGACCCAUUUAGCACCGUCCCACACUGUGACGUGGAGACUGACCUCGCCACACUUUGCAGAUUCUCGCGGAGCACGGAGGCUGGCUCCUGCCGUCUCCUGUUGGGGAAGGGCUCUCUGCACCUGCUCUACGGGCCAGGAAACCAGAGCUCAGGGAGAAUUUCUUGGCUACAAAGAGGCAGGCUUCAAACCGAGCUCUGACCUGGAGACGCCCACUUCCACAGCAAUCUCUUCUGCAGGCCUCGGGCACAGAGGGCUCUGGGGACCCUCCUCUUCUCAUCCCGGCCCUGCUCGUGACCGACUGUGCGUGGUUGACUGAUCGUGUUCACCCCAUCCCGCCCCUUCUUGGGAUGCGCUCUGAUGGGUGCUCAGUGCGCACCUUUUGUAUUAGUUACUUUUCAGAAUGCAUACUGUGUUUUGUUGCACUUACCUUAAAAGUUUUUUUAAUACAAUUUUAAAGGUUGUACUCCAUUUACAGUCAUUACAAGAUACUGACUCUACUCCCCGUGUUGUGCACUAUAUCCUUGUAGUCAAUCUUACCCCCAAUAGUUUGUACCUCCCAAUCCCCCAUCCCCACAUUACCUCUCCCCCCACUGGUAACCGCCAGUUUGUUCUCUAUAUCCGUGUGUCUGCUUCUUUUUUCUUAUAUUCACCAGUUUGUUGUA